rnacentral:rRNA from 1 species
UACGUAGGGUGCGAGCGUUAAUCGGAAUUACUGGGCGUAAAGCGUGCGCAGGCGGUUUUGUAAGUCUGUCGUGAAAUCCCCGGGCUCAACCUGGGAAUUGCGAUGGAGACUGCAAGGCUAGAAUCUGGCAGAGGGGGGUAGAAUUCCACGUGUAGCAGUGAAAUGCGUAGAGAUGUGGAGGAAUACCGAUGGCGAAGGCAGCCCCCUGGGAUAACACUGACGCUCAUGCACGAAAGCGUGGGGAGCAAACAGG